rnacentral:rRNA from 1 species
AGAACGAACGCUGGCGGCAUGCCUAACACAUGCAAGUCGAACGCCUGUAGCAAUACAGGAGUGGCGCACGGGUGAGUAACGCGUGGGAACCUACCCUGGAGUGGGGGAUAACCGAGAGAAAUUUCGGCUAAUACCGCAUACGACCUGAGGGUGAAAGAUUUAUCGCUCUAGGAGGGGCCCGCGUCGGAUUAGCUAGUUGGUGGGGUAACGGCCUACCAAGGCAACGAUCCGUAGCUGGUCUGAGAGGAUGAUCAGCCACACUGGGACUGAGACACGGCCCAGACUCCUACGGGAGGCAGCAGUGGGGAAUAUUGGACAAUGGGGGCAACCCUGAUCCAGCAAUGCCGCGUGAGUGAUGAAGGCCUUAGGGUUGUAAAGCUCGUUUCGGCGGGGACGAUGAUGACGGUACCGCAGAAGAAGCCCCAGCUAACUUCGUGCCAGCAGCCGC